GGGGAUAUAGCUCACUUGGUAUAGUGCUUGCCUUGCAUGCAUGAGACCCUGGGUUCAAUCCCUAGGAUCCCCA
rnacentral:tRNA from 1 species